rnacentral:rRNA from 1 species
UUGCUUGGUGGAUCAGUGGCGAACGGGUGAGUAACACGUGAGCAACCUGCCCUGGACUCUGGGAUAAGCGCUGGAAACGGUGUCUAAUACUGGAUAUGAGCCUCUUCCGCAUGGUGGGGGUUGGAAAGAUUUUUCGGUCUGGGAUGGGCUCGCGGCCUAUCAGCUUGUUGGUGAGGUAAUGGCUCACCAAGGCGUCGACGGGUAGCCGGCCUGAGAGGGUGACCGGCCACACUGGGACUGAGACACGGCCCAGACUCCUACGGGAGGCAGCAGUGGGGAAUAUUGCACAAUGGGCGGAAGCCUGAUGCAGCAACGCCGCGUGAGGGAUGACGGCCUUCGGGUUGUAAACCUCUUUUAGCAGGGAAGAAGCGGAAGUGACGGUACCUGCAGAAAAAGCGCCGGCUAACUACGUGCCAGCAGCCGCGGUAAUACGUAGGGCGCAAGCGUUAUCCGGAAUUAUUGGGCGUAAAGAGCUCGUAGGCGGUUUGUCGCGUCUGCUGUGAAAUCCCGAGGCUCAACCUCGGGCCUGCAGUGGGUACGGGCAGACUAGAGUGCGGUAGGGGAGAUUGGAAUUCCUGGUGUAGCGGUGGAAUGCGCAGAUAUCAGGAGGAACACCGAUGGCGAAGGCAGAUCUCUGGGCCGUAACUGACGCUGAGGAGCGAAAGGGUGGGGAGCAAACAGGCUUAGAUACCCUGGUAGUCCACCCCGUAAACGUUGGGAACUAGUUGUGGGG